rnacentral:rRNA from 1 species
UACGGGGGGGAGCAAGCGUUGUUCGGAUUUACUGGGCGUAAAGGGCGCGUAGGCGGCCACCGCAAGUCGACUGUGAAAUCUCCGGGCUUAACCCGGAAAGGUCAGCCGAUACUGCGGGGCUAGAGUGCAGAAGGGGCAACUGGAAUUCUCGGUGUAGCGGUGAAAUGCGUAGAUAAUCGAGAGGAACACCUGCGGCGAAGGCGGGUUGCUGGGCUGACACGUGACGCUGAGGCGCGAAAGCUAGGGGAGCGAACGGG